UACGUAGGGGGCUAGCGUUGUCCGGAAUCAUUGGGCGUAAAGCGCGCGUAGGCGGCCCGGUAAGUCCGUUGUGAAAGUCAAAGGCUCAACCUUUGAAUGCCGGUGGAUACUGUCGGGCUAGAGUGCGGAAGAGGCGAGUGGAAUUCCUGGUGUAGCGGUGAAAUGCGCAGAUAUCAGGAGGAACACCUAUUGCGAAGGCAGCUCGCUGGGACGUUACUGACGCUGAGACGCGAAAGCGUGGGGAGCAAACAGG
rnacentral:rRNA from 1 species